AUAUGAUCUUGAAAGCCUUCAAUUGCAUAGCAGCAACAUCACUAGACUUUGGAAUGGAGCACCGGAAUUGAAUAAGCUGAGAACCAUUGAUCUAAGCAAUUCUGGUGAUCUGAGAGAAACUCCAGAUUUCAGUGGAACUCCAAACCUUGAAAAGUUAUUUUUCGAUCAUUGCGAAAACCUUAUUCGGGUUCAUGAAUCUCUUGGACAACUGAAGAAACUAGUUGAGUUGAGUUUAAGAUAUUGUACAAAUCUUGAAACUCUUCCAACUUUCUUGGAUAUGGAUAAUCUGGAGGUUUUUAUUCUUGGUGAAUGUUCAAAGCUUGAGAGGCUACCUGAGUUCGGUAAAAAUAUGAGAAGGCUAUACUUCUUGGAUCUGAGGGACACUGGGAUCACCGGGAUUCCUUUAUCCAUAAUUAAUUUAGAAAAUCUGAAAUAUUUAGACUUGGGAGGUUGCAGCAAGCUUCAGUCAAUACCGGAGCUUCCUCCAAACUCAAUUAUUCGUGCAAGGAAGGAUCAUUUCAUGACAUCCACUGCAUCAGAUCUACAGCAUCUCAUUGAAUCGCGUGGCUCUAAGGAACCCAUUCACCUUAUUAUUGACUCGAAA